CUGUGCCUGCAACACGGCUUAUGGUGCUGGGCCUCAGGAAAUGGAGGUCCCUCAUCUGCAUCCAUAAGAAGAAAGCCCGGGUUAUUCAUCUGUUUAGACAGAAGUGCACUCCAACCUUUAGCAGGAUCUGAAGGGGUGUUCACUGAGGUUGCAGAGCACCAACCAUGUCUGCAGAGGAGUUCACACCUCACUGGUGUUCAUUGUAUUGCUUCACCGUUGAGAGCCUGAAUGUGAACCUUGUUGUAUUAAGGUGCCUUCCUAAUGUGCAGGUGACGAUUGCCUCUGAGCUCAGGCAUGCAGCUUCUGGGAUGCACUCUCCUUUCACGGCAAAGCAUUCUGCAUAGGAAAAACCGUCUCUGCGUCUCCAAGCUGUGGCCUAGCCCUUCAUUCAUCAAAUGGGAUACAACUUUCAUUUCUUAUUAAAAUCUGGAAGUCACUCUCCAUUUGUAAGAUAUCCCAGGGGUUGAUGUCAUCUUGUAAAGGGGGACAGUGCCAUUUUCUAUCUUACACUUUAAAAAGACAAAACCACUAGCUACAAACAUCAUUCACCACAGCAUGGGAGAGGCAACCCCACAGCAAAGGUUAUGUCAUGUUUCAUAAAUGGGUAUGGAUUUGGGGGCUGGUUUUUUUAAUAAAAAC
rnacentral:lncRNA from 1 species